rnacentral:lncRNA from 1 species
UUUUUCCACAAUGUCCUGAAUGCUGAGCUCAGGAUCAGAUCUGUGGGUCUGUUCUCAGUUCGAGGAAUCAGUGUUCAGUUUCAGCCUCAGCACACUCUGGAAAUUGACAGGGUAUGGAUUUCUAGCAAAAUAGUUAACCCGGACCUGCCGAGGUUCUUGGCGUUGUGUGUGGGUGAGGCCCGGGUCCGCUUUGACCUGCAGGAGCCAUUUAAGCCCCGGGCUCCUAAAAGCAAUGAGGAGAAUUCAAAAAGACCUCCUCUCAGUCCCUCUACCCUGCACCUUCUCUCUCAGGUAAUCAACUUGACUGUUGUUUAGGAGUAAACCGGGUUCAG